rnacentral:SRP_RNA from 1 species
GCUAGGCAUGGUGGCUCAUGCCUGUAAUCCCAACACUUUGGGAGGCUGAGGCGGGAGGAUUGCUUGAGCCCAGGAAUUCAAGACCAGCCUGAGCAACAUGGCAAGAUCCUGUCUCUA